rnacentral:rRNA from 1 species
ACGGAGGGUGCGAGCGUUAAUCGGAAUUACUGGGCGUAAAGCGUGCGUAGGCGGUUUGUUAAGUCAGAUGUGAAAGCCCCGGGCUCAACCUGGGAAUUGCAUUUGAUACUGGCAGACUAGAGUUUAAGAGAGGGGAGUGGAAUUUCAGGUGUAGCGGUGAAAUGCGUAGAGAUCUGAAGGAACACCAGUGGCGAAGGCGACUCCCUGGCUUAAAACUGACGCUGAGGUACGAAAGCGUGGGUAGCAAACAGG